rnacentral:rRNA from 1 species
GACGCUAGUUCAGGUGGAGUCAUUGUUGAAAUACCACUCUGGUCACUUUGGAUAUCUAACUACGAACCGUGAUCCGGUUCUGGGACAGUGCCUGGUGGGUAGUUUAACUGGGGCGGUUGCCUCCCAAAAAGUAACGGAGGCGCCCAAAGGUUCCCUCAACCUGGUUGGCAAUCAGGUGUCGAGUGUAAGUGCACAAGGGAGCUUGACUGUGAGACUGACAAGUCGAGCAGGG